UACGUAGGGGGCGAGCGUUGUCCGGAUUUAUUGGGCGUAAAGAGCUCGUAGGCGGUUUGGUAAGUUGGAUGUGAAAUCUCCAGGCUCAACUUGGAGGGGUCAUUCGAUACUGCCAUGACUAGAGUUCGGUAGGGGAGUGUGGAAUUCCCGGUGUAGUGGUGAAAUGCGUAGAUAUCGGGAGGAACACCAGUGGCGAAGGCGACUACCUGGCCUGUUCUUGACGCUGAGGCGCGAAAGCUAGGGGAGCAAACGGG
rnacentral:rRNA from 1 species